GAUGAACGCUGGCGGCGUGCCUAAUACAUGCAAGUCGAGCGAACAGAUGAGGAGCUUGCUCCUCUGACGUUAGCGGCGGACGGGUGAGUAACACGUGGAUAACCUACCUAUAAGACUGGGAUAACUUCGGGAAACCGGAGCUAAUACCGGAUAAUAUAUUGAACCGCAUGGUUCAAUAGUGAAAGACGGUUUUGCUGUCACUUAUAGAUGGAUCCGCGCCGCAUUAGCUAGUUGGUAAGGUAACGGCUUACCAAGGCAACGAUGCGUAGCCGACCUGAGAGGGUGAUCGGCCACACGGGAACGGAGACAGCGUCCAGACUCCUAAGGGAGGCAGCAGUAGGGAAUCUGCCGCAAUGGGCGAAAGCUUGACGGAGCAACGCCGAGUGAGUGAUGAAGGUCUUCGGAUCGUAAAAAUCUGUUAUUAGGGAAGAACAAAUGUGUAAGUAACUAUGCACGUCUUGACGGUACCUAAUCAGAAAGCCACGGCUAACUACGUG
rnacentral:rRNA from 1 species